AAAUGCGAUAAGUAGUGUGAAUUGCAGAAUUCAGUGAAUCAUCGAAUCUUUGAACGCACAUUGCGCCCUUUGGUAUUCCUUAGGGCAUGCCUGUUCGAGCGUCAUCUAAACCUUCAAGCCCUGCUUGGUGUUGGGUGCCUGUCCCGCCUCCGCGCGCGGACUCACCUCAAAUCCAUUGGCGGCCCCCGCGUCGGCCACGAGCGCAGCUGAAACGCGAACUCGUGAGCCCGUCCGGGCGGCUCCCAGAAGCUACACCCACCCAGUUUGACCUCGGAUCAGGUAGGGAUACCCGCUGAACUUAAGC
rnacentral:misc_RNA from 1 species